rnacentral:rRNA from 1 species
CAUCACGCCGAACUGUCUGCCGAUUGGUAAGCUCCGGUUUGGCGGGUGCUUCCUUCCGGAGGCUCGUUCCCUUCUUCAUUGAAGGGUUCGUUGGGUCCGGGUCUUUUACUUUGAGAAAAUUAGAGUGUUCAAAGCAGGCCUAUGCUCUGAAUAUGUUAGCAUGGAAUAAUAGAAUAGGACUUUGGAUCUAUUUUGUUGGUUUCUAGGACCGAAGUAAUGAUUAAUAGGGACAGUUGGGGGCAUUCAUAUUCCAUUGUCAGAGGCGAAAUUCUUGGAUUAACGGAAGAUGAACUUCUGCGAAAGCAUCUGCCAAGGAUGUUUUCAUUGAUCAAGAACGAAAGUUAGGGGAUCGAAGACGAUCAGAUUACCGUCGUAGUCUUAACCAUAAUCUAUGCCGACUAGGGAUGUGGAGGCGUUAACUUU